UACGUAGGGGGCUAGCGUUGUCCGGAUUUAUUGGGCGUAAAGAGCGUGUAGGCGGCCAUGCAGGUCCGUUGUGAAAACUGGAGGCUUAACCUCCAGACGUCGAUGGAAACCGUAUGGCUAGAGUCCGGAAGAGGAGAGUGGAAUUCCUGGUGUAGCGGUGAAAUGCGCAGAUAUCAGGAAGAACACCCGUGGCGAAGGCGGCUCUCUGGGACGGUACUGACGCUGAGACGCGAAAGCGUGGGAGCGAACCGG
rnacentral:rRNA from 1 species